AGGAAAUGGCAAUCCACUCCAGUACUAUUGCCUGGAAAAUCCCAUGGACAGAGAAGCCUGGUAGGCUACAGUCCAUGGGGUUGCAAAGAGUCAGACACGAGUGAGCGAUUUCACUUCACUUCUAAAUAAAAUACAGCUGUAUCACUGAUUUGUCUAAGAGCUAUAACAUGGUCCUUUUGAGGCCUGAGAGCUAUAACAUGGUCUAUCCAAGACCCGAGAGCUGUGACAUGCCAAAGGAACUUUAAUGUCCAUCACUCCAAAUCUUUGUUGUGACGAGACAAAGAACGGAAGAACAUACACUCGCGUGACAUCUAUGGUGCCGUGACUCGGGUUUAACCUGCCUGAAACAACCUCUACGUGGAAGAGGCCAGGCACAGCAGGAGCCCAACUCAGCGAAGCUCCCGCGGUAGAAGCGGAACGCAAAGAAAAUCCAGCGCAGGGGAAGGCCCGUCGUGCUGGAAACCGGACAGCGAAAAACGAACUCAGCAGAAAGCUCACGUGGCCCAGUCUCAGAUUCUGGAAGACCUCCGGUUAAGAAACCUUGGACCACUGGACAAAACCCCAAGAGGGCUUGUCAGAAGAUCCUCUGACCAAUCCUGAGGAAAUCUGGUACACUGAUGGAAGCAGCUUUGUCUUGGAUGGAAAAAGAAGAGCCGGGUAUGCAGUAGUCUCCAAUUUUGAGACCAUAGAGGCUAAGCCUCUGCCACCAGGUCAACAAGCUACAACAUGCAGUGCCAGUUCAACAAAGAUAUAAAACUACAGCCGACCACGGAAAAUAUCACUC
ensembl:lncRNA